CCCUUAGAUGUUCUGGGCCGCACGCGUGCUACACUGAGUGGAUCAGCGGGUCAGGUUGCGCGAAAGUGUUUCCUAAUCUUGAAAUCCGCUCGUGAUGGGGAUUGACGGUUGCAAUUUUCCGUCAUGAACGAGGAAUACCUUGUAAGCGCGGGUCAUCAUCCCGCGCUGAAUACGUCCCUGCCCUUUGUACACACCGCCCGUCGCUCCUACCGAUUGAGUGGUCCGGUGAGGCUUUGGGAUCUGAGCGGAAAGAGCGUUUCGCUGUUUCUGCUCGGAAAACUCAGUCGAACCUUAUCAUUUAGAGGAAGGAAAAGUCGUAACA
rnacentral:rRNA from 1 species